GCGAGCCCGACCUGAUCCCCCCCCGUUUUCCCCCGGGACGGCGCUCCCCACCUCCCGAGUCCGGGCGGCGCUUCCCUGCGCCUCCCGAUUCGACUCCUCCGCCGCCUCCCGAGCUGCACCACCCGCCCGCCCCUCCGCCUUCCGUCCAGGCUGCGCCGCCCUCCAUCGCCUCCCCGGAUCUCCUCCGUCUGCCUCCCCGUCCAGCCACCAUCGUCUGCCUCCCUGUCCAGCACCGCUCGUCCGUCUCCCCGUCGAGCCGCUGCGCCGUCCGCGCUCGCCGGCGACCCGGACUACCUCCAGGACCUCUGCGUCGCCGAACUCAACCCCGGCAAGAUUUCCGACUUUAGCAACGCCGAUGUUGCCGUUGAUCAGUACCACCGUUUUAAGGAGGAUGUACAGCUCAUGGAAAACAUGAGAAUGGAUGCUUACCGGUUUUCGAUUGCCUGGUCGAGGAUUUUGCCAAAUGGUACCGGCCAAGUCAAUCAGGCUGGCAUCGACCACUACAACAAAGUGAUUGAUACAAUAGUAUCAAUCAGUUAAUUUAUCAAUUUCGGUGAAAUUGUCUUACCGUUCCCUUCAAAAUCACAUUAUUUUCUUUCUCUGGUUCAGGAAAUCAUUAGUUCGAUUGUUUGACAAAGUUAACAGUGGUUUACUGAAGGAAGGUAAGAAGCUAUCCGAAAGGAUACUAGACAUGCAUCGGAAAAGACAAGGCUCUCCACGGAAACGAAAAGGUCCCGUCUCGGGAACAAAGGGCAAAGACAGGUUUCGGUCAGAAGAGGCGUUUUAUGAGAAUCCUCUUCCCGACUGCAUGUGUCAACCAGGGUCUCCAGACAGCGAUGAUUCUCUUGUCAGCAUCUAAGCAACUACCCGUACACUGCAAGAGCAACUACCCGUACAUUCCUUUUUCCGGCUGCAAUUCCUGUGCAAGUAUUUGUAGUUGAAUGUAACUAGGAAACUCACUGAAGAUACAAUAAUAUGUCAUAUAAUCUUCUGUCAAUUGCCCGAGCAGAGAUGCAGUAGCCCAGUUUUUCAGUGUGGGAUUGGACUACAGUUUUUACAGUCAACAGUUUUUCAGAGCUUCUCCACUUCUUAGAAAAAUGAUAGUUCUAGCUUAGUUUCCAAAGGAACUUCGAAUGUGGUCUUUAUGUUCUGUUUGUAGUAAAGUGCUAUUGUAUUAAGAAAGAACUAUGUAUUUGGAGAAAAGUGAAAUAAACUGUAGUCCAACAAGGAGCAAA